UCUCUCCCUGUCCUGUCACCAUCCUCAUGCUCUCUCUCUCCCUGCCCUGUCACCAUCCUCAUGCUCUCUCUCUCCCUCUCUCUCUUUUCUCUGAACGCACCAGAGUGAACAUGAAAUAAUUAUUAUCAGUAAACAAGUGGUGUUUCUUGCCAUGAUGUGGAAUGGAUUACUAACCAUUUCUAAUCUGAACGGCAAUGAUUAUUAUAUCAAGAAAAAUUGACUCAUCUCUUGUUCUACUGUGGACUUCUAUCAUCUGACUGGUGAUUAUUAUAGAAACAUUGACUCAUCUCUUGUUCUACUGUAGACUUCUAUCAUCUGACUGGUGAUUAUUAUAGAAACGUUGACUCAUCUCUUGUUCUACUGUAGACUUCUAUCAUCUGACUGGUGAUUAUUAUAGAAACGUUGACUCAUCUCUUGUUCUACUGUAGACUUCUAUCAUCUGACAGGUGAUUAUUAUAGAAACGUUGACUCAUCUCUUGUUCUACUAAACUGAUGAAGGUCACUGCCACCCUUCCUCUUCCUCAUGAUGACAUCACUGUGAAUGAAAGCUGACUGUAAUAAAACUGAUUUCACUUUAAUCAAACAAACACUAAUAAUGCUAUUUAUCAUAAGGAAGUACAGCUAUACAGUAUCCUAUACAGUACAGCGAUACAGUAUACUAUACAGUAUACUAUACAGUACAGUUAUACAGAACAGCUAUACAGUAUACUAUAGAGUACACUAUACAGUAUACUAUACAGUACAGUUAUACAGAACAGCUAUACAGUAUACUAUAGAGUACAGUUAUAGAGUACAGCUAUACAGUAUCCUAUACAGUACAGUUAUACAGAACAGCUAUACAGUAUACUAUAGGAAUAUGUAAUAAAUUAAAGCUACUACUGUCUACAUAAAUUACAGAUGCAGCACAACAUAAAUGAUUGACACUUUACUCAGACUUCACCUGGGCUUUCUGACCAAUAGAACGUAAUAAAGACAUUAACGUUAGUUGAAUACGUCCGUGAGCACCAUUGUUGGUCGCUGGGUGAAUGUGUGGCUAAUUAACUUUCCAGGUAACUUAGCUAUGAUAGCUAACGUUAGUGGUCGCUAGGUGAAUGUGUGGAUAAUUAACGUUCCAGGUAACUUAGCUAUGAUAGCUAACGUUAGUGGUCGCUAGGUGAAUGUGUGGAUAAUUAACGUUCCAGGUAACUUAGCUAUGAUAGCUAACUUUAGUGAUGGUUGAUUGAUUAGCACUCGCAAAUCGGUCCAUUUUCACCAAAAACUUUUGUUUCCACUCCAUGCAAUUACUGACACUUUUUAGCAAAAUAUUAUUUAUUUCCACAAUUACAGUUCCAGCGCAAAAUGACGUAUUGACGUUGACGUUAAAACAUCACAAUCGACAGU